CCCUGUCGCUUUAAGCGACCUAAAGGAACGUUUAAGACUAAGACGUUGAUAGGCUGGGUGUGUAAGCGUAGCGAUACGUUGAGCUAACCAGUACUAAUGAACCGUGAGGCUUAACCUGACAACACCGAAGGUGUUU
rnacentral:rRNA from 1 species